rnacentral:rRNA from 1 species
CCUACGGGAGGCAGCAGUGAGGAAUAUUGGUCAAUGGCCGGAAGGCUGAACCACCCAUGCCGCGUGAAGGUCAGUGCCCUAUGGGCGUUAAACUUCUUUUGUGCGGGAGCAAUAAUGGUCACGUUUGGCCAGACGAGAGUACCGUACGAAUAAGCAUCGGCUAACUCCGUGCCAGCAGCCGCGGUAAGACGGGGGAUGCAAGCUUUAUCCGGAUUUUUUGGGUUUAAAGGGUGCGUAGGCUGUGAGGUAAGUCAGCGGUGAAAUGCCCCCGGUCAACGGGGUGAAGUGCCAUUGAUACUGCCUUGCUGGAAUGCGGAUGCGGUGGGAGGAAUGUGUGGUGUAGCGGUGAAAUGCAGAGAUAUCACACAGAACACCGAUUGCGAAGGCAUCUCACGAAUCCGCGAUUGACGCUGAUGCACGAAAGCGUGGGUAUCAAACAGGAUUAGAUACCCCAGUAGUC